rnacentral:rRNA from 1 species
AUGCGUGGUAGGAAAUGGCCUGGUAACCCUUGUUGUUCCUUCUGUAACGAGGUUGAGAGUUCGCGGCAUUUGUUUUUUACCUGCCCUGUGGCAAAAUGCCUAUGGAGAUCCGUUGGGGUCGUGCUGGGUACUGAUAGGUGCCCCAGUAAUUACUGGCAGUACUAUACGUGGUGCCAUGUUUUUCUUCCUGGGGGAGAGAAAUUUUAUACGGUGGGCCUGGCAGCUGCCUGCUGGGCUAUCUGGCUGGCCCGUAAUCGUGCCACCUUUGAGAAGAAAAUGAUCAAAACUCCUUUUGAUAUAGUCUUUUUCAUGUGCUCUUUCUUGCUUUAUUGGAUAGGUCUGCAGCAAGGAGAUGAUGCUAAGAAGUUACGCACAGGCGCGGAGCAGAUCAGGGCGGGGACCAUGCAGAUGAUGAAGCUGUGCGAGGCGGCCAGGCAGCCGAUCACCGGAGAGUGA